AUCAAUUAAAAGCAAAAAUAUAUCCAAAAUAGCACCUUCACGAGAAAGCUUAGGAACACACCAAACCAAUCGGGUCUUUCUCAGUUUUCACAAGCAAUUCGCUGUUCAAUCAAGUUUCAGACAGCCAACACACUAUGUAAAUGUCAAUUUAUUUCAGAAGGAUAGCCCUUUCAAGACUAGCCACCUUCCUAAGUAGCAGGCAAAAGUUCUAAGCAACAAAUACUGUUCCGCAAUUUAAGUUUACAUCAAUCAAAUACAGUUCUUGUUCUCUAUCUAUUCAUGUCAAGCCACCUAUGCCCCGAAUAAUCAGUGCGUAAUUUUCACUAUCAGAUCAAGGGAUCAAUUAGCUCUCUUGUUGCUCUGCUUGUGCUCCCAUUAGCUGUCUGCCGCACAAAUUGUCCCCGCACACGCGGUCGUUGCUCGGCUAAUCUCUUCCUGCUUUGGUACCGAACCUUUUUCCUGAAGCAUCGCUACUUUCUUUUCUGUCGAAAUUUGGUCAAGGCAGCUUCUCUCUGAGAAAACUUGCUCUGAUCUACUAGGUUUCCAUCCCCAGUUCCACUCCCAGUCCCACGGCCAUCACCACUUCCAGCUUUACCAGCGAUUCCAUUAUCACUUUCUACAUUAGUCCCUUCAGCAUUGACUGCAGUGCAACUCCCAUUUUGUCCAUUGCUCCCGUGGUUACUGCCAUGGUUACUACUGGAAGCACUUCCAUUGAUGCUGUAAUUGCCACCAUUACCUUCAACAGGACCACCCAACAAAUUGGAGGACCCACAAUGUGGAGGAGCUGCAGCCAUUUUCUUCAAUGAUGAAUUAUCAUGGUCAGGUGGCAGCUGUUGCUGUUGCUGUUGUGAUUGCAUGCUGUGAGGAGGAUGAUGAUGAUGAUGGUUAGCAAGGUGCUGAAUUUGGAGUUCCUGAUUGGUGCCUCUUGGUUGAGCUAGCAUUGUUGCACCGGCUACAUCAUUAGCUUUCUCUGAUAAAAUCUGCUGAGGGGCACAUAAUGGGUCACCUUUCAAUGGCCGGAAACUAGAAGGUGGAUGCAAAUAUUUGAUCGUGGAUGAUACUGCUGAUUUAUUUUUCAAGACCAUUGACUCAGUAAAAGUGUGAUUUGUGGUGGAACCCAUAUCAAUGUUAUUGCAACCAACAUUUGAGCAUUGAUUAGGAUGAUCACCAUUCGAAUGAGACAGCAUAUCACAAACUAAUCCUUUUUUGGUAAAAUCUAAACUAGAAUCAUGUGGGGAACCACUUUUAAUGUUUACACCAGGAGCCUUAUUUGAAUUUGAGGCCGCAUUAUACCUAGAAAAAGCUGAAGAGUCUGAACGUCUUAAGACAUUGCGGCCUUCCAAAACUGUAGUCCCGAUAUCCUUAGCUCCUCUAAGUCUUUUUAAACUAAGUUCAAGGGGCGGUGUUUCUUUAGCAUCAUUAGAGGCUGUAUUUUUUAUAUCUGAGAUCUUGGAAUGUCUACAUGAAGCCUCAAACUCUGUGCUAUCCAUAUGGGGAUCACAAACAUUUGUGAUGAAACCUGUCAGACUAGCAGCUUCAUACUUUAUUUUGCUUGAUGGACUCUCACUGUUGAGGUCUAGCCGUCCUUUAACAGUUUGUUCUUUGAGUUUACCAGAUCCCCCCUCAAGCACAUUCUUCUGUUUUGCACCUACAAGUUUGAUAGAAUCCUCAACUUGGUAUUCAAGUCGUAAAUCUAGAUUUCCUGGCACAACUUUCUCCAAGUCUUUACCAAUUGCAUUCUCAAGAUGUUCCUCCUGUUCUUCACGCUCCCUUAUAGUGGUUACAGGUGCCUGCUUGUUACCUGAUAUUUCAGCAUUGGAGUAGAUAACUUGUGCACAAGUACUGUCAGGACAUUCAGCAAUUUGAUCCCAAGGAGACACUGGCUGGGGACUGUCAACAUCUACAGCUCGUUUUGUCCAAGAGCUCUGGGUGCCACUCCCAUUGUCACUUCCACCCCCAACAUUUAAACCACUGCUUUCACUAUCAUCUUCAUCAUUGCUUCCAGUGCCGUUGUCAGACUUUUCAACACUCCUUGAUUUUACAGAUUUUUGAGUCUGUGUGCCACUUUCACUUCCACUAGCACUAGACUAAGGGAAAGAUGAGAAACUGAUCAUUAAGCAUAGAAAGAAAUAUGCACAAGCAUGAAACUGAAAACCAUAGUCAGUAUCAUCAAAGAAAUGUAGUUCCAAAUCAAUAUUGAAGAUAAAUCAAUCUAUCUCUAAAGGGUAAUCUAAGCAGUGAUGCAAGCAGGUGUAUUCAUUUUCAUAUGCCUUCAGAAAACAAGAGAAGGAGAAAAGGCAGUUGUCACUACAUGACGAACUAAAUUGUGUUUGAGGUAUGGAUUUAAAAUCUGAGGUGGAAGAUCCAACUACUCACACUAUGGCAUCUUCUCCAUACAUGCUGCCAAAGGUUCUUAAGUUCAUUCUUUCGUAUAGGCUUCACUAAAAAAUCAACAGCACCUUUUGACAAACACUUAAAGACUAAGCCCAUGGAGUCAUGAGACGACAUCACUGCACAUAGAUCUCAUCAGCAAAUAUGGUUAAAAGUAUCUGUUCAAGAAGACUUCAAAAAUAAACAGUAAACAAUCAAGCUUUAGUGCCAAAACAAAUAAAAUGAAUGAAUAAUUAAACUUACUGAUAACAGGAACAUUCUUGCGAGUUUUGUGGCUUAUAAUCUUGCAUAAAAGACCAAUGCCAGACAACUGAGGCAUAACUACCUCAGUUAAGACCAGGUCAAUGUGAUUUGUCAAAUCUUCUAGUAUCUUCCAUGCUUGCAAUCCAUUUGCUGCUUCAAUAAAUUUAGUAGGCAGACGUUAACAUUCUUGGUAGAUGGUGUCUGGAAUAAAUUGCUAUUGAUGAAAGUCUUAGUCAUAUGCCCAGUAAAUCUUUAGUUGUGUUUAUCAGCAAGUUGAUCGGUACUUUUUUAUAUGUAGUUAGCAAAUGACUAUUACUGACUAUAGCUCCAUGAGUUGAAGCCUCCAAGAAUCUAGGGUUAGUAUAGAUAUAUUGAGGAAAAAAUAGCUGCAUAGGAUAACUUUGAUAAUAAGAAACUUAUUCUUGAUUGUUUUGGCUUCUUCCUUUCGCUUCCUCUCAUUUCCCCCAUUUUUCUUCCUGAUUCCUUUCUCUCAUCACAUCUCUCUACAACUAAUAAACUAAAGAUUCAAGCUAGAGUGAUCCUUGAUCUCAGAUGAGAGCAGUUCCUACACUUAGACAAAAUAACAUGAUAAAAAAUUUGCAAAAAUGGUGAUUAUUUCCACAUGAAGAACUUGCAUAUCCACCAAUGCAAAACUCAAUAAUUGCUACAAGUACUGUUGCAGAAGUGAUGCAGUAAAAUUUUGCUAACAAAUUCUUAGGUUAGGCCCAAUGUUGAUGCAGGCCUCAUAGCCCAGUAUCCCUGUGAUUUUCAAACGCUAUCCAUGACUUGCAAAUUGAAAGGUUGAUGCGUAUGCUAAUCUGGAGAAAAAAUGGGCUUUUCAUCAAAUAAAGCUUUCCUAAAAGCACCUUAGCUGUGUUCCAGAAUCUAGCCACUUAUCAAACUAACAAAGUUCCUUCACAAGAUUACAUAAACUUGGAACAUUAGGAAAAGGUUACUGACAUAGCUUCCUUUCCAAAAUUCUUCUGCAGGAUAUUGCUAUCCAUGCAGUACUGGAGCCCUUCAUAUAAAUCAGACUAAUAAAGUUCCUCAACACAAACUUAAACUCACAUGAAGGGCAGAAUGCCAAUAAGUAUCUUAUAUUGGUUGUAGAUUCUUGUCAUUUAUCUGCAUAAAAAGGUCUCUUAACAUGCAAUUGAAAAUUUUGAAAAUUUCAGUUAUUUAACAUUCCUUCCAAUAUUGUCUGAAAUAUGCAGCACUUGCUGCAGGCACAAAGGUUAAAUCAGAACUCUGUACCCUUAAUUCAGUUUUCAUGACAAUUUUACUAUUGUAAUAAACCAUAAAGCAUUAAUUGUCACAGAGACCACUACACAAACCUUCAUAACUGCAGUUGCGAAGUAGGGCAGUAACAACAUGGCGUGUAGAAUCAUCAUUUUCAACCAGCAGAACCUUGAGGGAUCUCAGAUGGAGAAACCUCUCCCAACAAACUGUUCCGCCUUGAGACUGCUGUUGCUGUGCUAUUUGCAAUGCAGCUGCAGGUGCCUGAGGAGCCCCUCCAUGCCCAUGUUUUAUGCUUUCAGCAAUGCCAUUGACUUUCAAACCAGGAUGUUCGGGUAAAUUUUGCUCCUCGCUCAUAACUCCACCCUUAACUCUCUUGUUCCCACUGUGCAGCCGAUGAUUUAGUUACCUCAAAUCUUUGUCCCCAUCACCAUCAAUACUCUUCUAGACAUUCCCAGUCAAUCAGAUUCAAAAAGCCUGAUUACAAUAAUAAUAAUAACAAAGAAGGUACAACAGCUGAACAGUGAAAAAGCCUAUUCAAUCCACAAAACAAAAGGCACAUAGCGUCCUCUUAAAGAAUACAACCUCUAUAAUUCCAGACAGUUCAGCUCAACCUGAAACAGAGGAGCAAAUCACCAGGCAGGCAGUGAUACAAAGAGCAGAUUCAUAACAAAACGAACACCACCACCUCAGAUAUGACAAAUUGUGUUCAAUCCUCCAGAAGUGUUCUGAUUUUACCCUGAAAGAACAGAGCAUCAUAUCAGGUUAUUUAAGAUGUAUAUCAACCUAAACAGAGAAAUUGACACCAAAAAAGAAAAUAGGACCCCAAAUUUCAUUCUUAAUCUUAUCACAGCAACCCAUAAAUAUCAACCGAGACAGAGUAGAUUGUAGUUGACUAGCCUCCAUAUACUAGCCUCCAUAUACUAUAAUUGUACAAAAUACUGCAACAAACGCUAAUCUCAAGCAAAUAGAUAAUCAACAAAGCUUCUACCAUAUCAUCAACUUACUGCAAUACCCGUUUCUUCAAGCAUCAAAAUUUGCGUAAAAUAAACAACUAAAAUGAAUUCCUCACAAGAUUUAAAAAUUGAUAAAAAAAAACCUCUUAAACUUGCACAAAUGAGAGUGAAGAUUAAUCUCAAAAGCCUCAAAAGCCUCAUUAACCACCACUAUCAAGCUCGAUUAAGCAACAAAUCAUUAGAGAAUUUAACAUUGCAGAAAAGGAAAAUAAGCUAAUUCCAAGAUCAUUGGAAAAAAAUUAAAAAUUAAAUUUAUAAUUUAUGAAACAGUAAAAAAAAUUGAGCUUGAUUGGUGCAAGAAACAAAUAGACCAGAUCAAAAAGGAUAAAUCGGCG
rnacentral:misc_RNA from 1 species